rnacentral:rRNA from 1 species
AUUGAACGCUGGCGGCAGGCCUAACACAUGCAAGUCGAACGGUAACAGGAAGCAGCUUGCUGCUUUGCUGACGAGUGGCGGACGGGUGAGUAAUGUCUGGGAAACUGCCUGAUGGAGGGGGAUAACUACUGGAAACGGUAGCUAAUACCGCAUAACGUCGCAAGACCAAAGAGGGGGACCUUCGGGCCUCUUGCCAUCGGAUGUGCCCAGAUGGGAUUAGCUAGUAGGUGGGGUAACGGCUCACCUAGGCGACGAUCCCUAGCUGGUCUGAGAGGAUGACCAGCCACACUGGAACUGAGACACGGUCCAGACUCCCACGGGAGGCAGCAGUGGGGAAUAUUGCACAAUGGGCGCAAGCCUGAUGCAGCCAUGCCGCGUGUAUGAAGAAGGCCUUCGGGUUGUAAAGUACUUUCAGCGGGGAGGAAGGGAGUAAAGUUAAUACCUUUGCUCAUUGACGUUACCCGCAGAAGAAGCACCGGCUAACUCCGUG